rnacentral:rRNA from 1 species
GCGGCUACUGCUAUCAGGUUUCGACUAAGCCAUGCGAGUCAAGGGGUCGUAAGACACCGGCGUACUGCUCAGUAACACGCGGACAAUCUACCCCCAGGUGGAGGAUAACCUCGGGAAACUGAGGCUAAUACCCCAUAGUUGUCAUGUGCUGGAAUGCUUUGACGAUGAAAGAAUUUCGCCUGAGGAUGAGUCUGCGGCCUAUCAGGUAGUAUGUGGUGUAAAGGACCACAUAGCCUAAGACGGGUACGGGCCUUGAAAGAGGGAGCCCGGAGAUGGACUCUGAGACACUAGUCCAGGCCCUACGGGGCGCAGCAGGCGCGAAAACCGUGCAAUGCGCGCAAGCGCGACACGGGAAGCCUGAGUGCCUUAACUAUGUUAAGGCUUUUCUUGAUCCUAAAAAGCUCAAGGAAUAAGAGCUGGGUAAGACGGGUGCCAGCCGCCGCGGUAACACCCGCGGCUCGAGUGGUAGUCACUUUUAUUGAGCCUAAAGCGUUUGUAGCCGGAUUUGUAAAUCUCUAGGAAAAUACUUCUGCUUAACUGAAGAAAUUUUGGAGAGACUGCAAAUCUAGGGACCGGGUGAGGUUGAAUGUACUUCUGGGGUAGGGGUAAAAUCCUGUAAUCCUGGAAGGACGACCGGUGGCGAAGGCGUUCAACUAGAACGGAUCCGACGGUGAGGAACGAAGGCUAGGGGAGCAAACCGGAUUAGAUACCCGGGUAGUCCUAGCUGUAAACACUGCCCACUUGGUGUUGCAUCUCCGGUAAGGGGGUGCAGUGCCGUAGCGAAGGUGUUAAGUGGGCCGCUUGGGGAGUAUGGUCGCAAGGCUGAAACUUAA